rnacentral:rRNA from 1 species
UACGUAGGGAGCAAGCGUUGUCCGGAAUCAUUGGGCGUAAAGCGCGCGUAGGUGGCUUCGUAAGUCCGUUGUGAAAGUCAAAGGCUCAACCUUUGAAAGCCGAUGGAUACUGUGAAGCUAGAGUACGGAAGAGGCGAGUGGAAUUCCUGGUGUAGCGGUGGAAUGCGCAGAUAUCAGGAGGAACACCAAUAGCGAAGGCAGCUCGCUGGGACGUUACUGACACUGAGGCGCGAAAGCUAGGGGAGCAAACAGG